UUUACGGAGAGUUUGAUCCUGGCUCAGGAUGAACGCUGGCGGCGUGCUUAACACAUGCAAGUCGAACGGUGAAAGCGGAGCUUGCUCUGCUGGAUCAGUGGCGAACGGGUGAGUAACACGUGAGCAAUCUGCCCCUGACUCUGGGAUAAGCGCUGGAAACGGCGUCUAAUACUGGAUACGAGCUGCGAAGGCAUCUUCAGCAGCUGGAAAGAAAUUCGGUCAGGGAUGAGCUCGCGGCCUAUCAGCUUGUUGGUGAGGUAACGGCUCACCAAGGCGUCGACGGGUAGCCGGCCUGAGAGGGUGACCGGCCACACUGGGACUGAGACACGGCCCAGACUCCUACGGGAGGCAGCAGUGGGGAAUAUUGCACAAUGGGCGCAAGCCUGAUGCAGCAACG
rnacentral:rRNA from 1 species